CGCGUCGGAUCUGUUGCCGCUGGUCCGCCCAGCUGACCCGUCGCCAAACCACGUCACCGUCUGUGAAGCUGUCUCCGUCGCCGCUGCCGGAGGUUGUUGCUGAGCCACUGAAGCUCCUGGCCGCUGUCGGAGCUACUGCCGGUUAAGUUUGGGGUGGCUGGCGCGUCGUUCUUUUAUUCCAGAGUUAAUAACCGGGGUUACAUGUUGGGACUUAAAGAUGUUUAUGCUGUGGCAAAAGUGUGCGGGCUAUGAAUUGAAGCUGCCGUUGACUUCGGGUCGAGAGGAAAGGAAUUUCUUGAGUCAUUUGGAUUGUGGUUUGAACGUGUCGAGAUAGGGGCGUUUUCUUAAAUUUAUUUUACUUUAAAGAAU